AGAAAUGAAAAUGGGGACCUUAUAGUUAUUCUCCAUAAAUGAAAGGAUUAUAAGGGAGUGUUAUGAACAAUUGUACACCCACAAAUUGGGUAACCUAGAUGAAAUGGAUAAAUUCCUAGAAAUACAAAACCUACUGAGACCAAAUCACAAAGAAACAGGAAAUCCAAAUAGAUCUAUAACUAGUAAAAAUAUUGAAUCAGUAAUUGAAAAUAUCCCCAUAAAGAAAAGUCCUGGACUUGAUGCUUCACUGGGGAAUUCUAUCAAAAACUUUAGGAAGAAUUCACAGCGAUCUAUUUCAAACUUUUCAAAAAAUUAAAGAGGAGGGAACACUUUCUAACUCAUUUUAUGAAGUCACCAUUAUCUCGACGCCAAGCGCAGAUAUAGACACUGACAGAAAAGAAAACUACAGACCAAUAUCUCUUAAGAACAUUGAUGCAAAUAUCUUUAACAAAUGUUAACAAGUUGAAUUCAGCAGUAUAUUAAAAGGACUAUAUGCCAUGACCAAGUGGGAUUUAUUCCUGAAUGCAAGAAUGGUUCAACAUAUGAAAAUUGACCAUUAUAAUAUAUCACAUUAAAAUAACAAAGAAAAGCAUCACAUAAUCAUCUCAACUGAUGCAAAGAAAGCAUUGGACAAAAUUUGACAUUCUUUUAUUAUAAAAACACCCAACAAACUAAGAAUAGAAGAAAACUUUCAACAUUCUAAAAGUCAUGUGAAAAAACCACAGCCAACAUCACACUCAAUGGUGAAAGACUGAAAGCUUUUUCCUUAAGAUGAAGAAAAGGCAAGGAUGUCUUCUUUUGCCACUUCUACUCAAUGUAGUCCUGGACAUUUUAGCCAGAGUAAUUAGACAGGAGAAAAAACAAAAGGUAUCCAAAUUGGAAAAGAAGUAAAAUUAUCUCUAUUAAUAGAUGAUAUGACCGGAAGAUUCUAUAAAAAGUUGUUAGAACUAAUAACACAUUAUAGCAGGAUACAAGGUCAAUGCACAGAAAUCAAUUAUGUCUCUAUGUACUAAUAAUAAAAAAUCUGAAAGAAAAUUAAGAAAAAAUUUUAUUUAUAAUGGAAUGAAAAAGAAUAACAUACUUAGGAAUUAACAGAGGUAGUUAUAGACUUUACAAUAAACUAUAAAACAUUGUUGAAAUAAAUUAAAGAAGACAUAAAAUAAAUGGAAAGACAUCUGUGUUCAUGACCUGGAAGACUUAACAUUGUUAAGAUGUCAAUGCUACCCAAAGCGAUCUACAGAUUCAGUGUAAUCUCUAUCAAAAUCCCAAUGAUGUUUAUUGUAGAAAUAUGAAAACCCAUCCUAAAAUCCAUCUGGAAUCUCAAGGGAUCCUGAAUAGCCAAAAGAAUCUUGAAAAAUAAGAGCAAAGCAGAAAGAGUCACACCUGUUAAUUUCAAAACUUACUAUGAAUCUCUAAUAAUCAAAAGUGUGGUAUUGGCAUGAAUACAGACAUUUAAACCAGUAGAAUACAACUGAGAGCCCAGAAAUAAACUAUCAAAUACAUGAUACAGUUAUUUUUGAAAGGACAGCCUUUUCAACAAAUGGUGCUGGGAAAACUGGAUAUCCACAUGCAAAAGAAUAAGGUUGGACUCUUGCCUAAGACCGCAUAUAAAAAUUAAACUCAAGGUGGAUUCAUGACCUAAAUGUAAGACCUGAAACUAUAAAGCUCUUCAAAGAAAACAUAGGGUAAAAACUUUACAACACUGAAUUUAGCAAUGAUUUUUUUGGAUAUGACACCAAAGGUAGAGACAACAACAAAUAAUAGAUAAAUUGGACUUAGUAAAUUAAAAAGUAAUGUAUACUAAAAGAAUGUCUUCAACACUGAAAAAGGGAACUCACUGAAUGGGAAAAUAUAUUUGCAAGUCAUAUAUAUCGUAUGGGAUUAAUAUCCAAAAGGCAUAGAGAAGUCCUGAAACUCAACAACCAACAAAACCAAAUGUCCCAAUUAAAAAAAUAGGAAAACUAGGUAAAUAACUUGCCUAAGCAUUUAUUUAAAUAAGUUCAGAAAACAUUGGCCAAGGUAUACCAUGGCCAAUAAGAACAUGAAAAGAUACUGAACAUCACUAACCAUUAGAGAAAUGUAAAUCAAAACUACAAUGAGAUACCACCUCAUAUCCAUUAGGAUGGCUACCAUCAAAAUGCCAGAAAAUAGAAAGUGUUGGUGAGGACGUGGAGAAUUUGGAACCUUUGUGCACUGUUGGUAGUAGUUUAAAAUGGUACAGCUGCUCUGGAAAACAGUAUGACCUUUUCUUAAAAAAUUAAAACUAGAGUUACAAUAUGAACUAUAAAUUCCAUAUCUGGGUAUAUACUUCAAUGAAUUGAAAGCAGGGACAUGAAGAGAUAUUUAUAUACCCAUGUUCAUAGCAGUAUUAUUCAUAAUAGCUUAAAUGCGGAAGCAACGCAGGUGUUCAUUAAUGGAAGUAUGAAUAAGACAAAUGUGGCAUAUACCUAUGGUGGAAUAUCAUUUGGCCUUAAAAAGGAAGGAAAUUCUUACAUAUGCUAUGACAUAGAUGAAUCUUGAGGAUAUUAUUCUAAGUGAAAUAAGCUUGUCAUUAAAAGAUAAAUACUCUAUUAUUCCACUUACAUGAGGUACAUAGAAUAGUCAAAAUCCUGGAGACAUAAAAUAGAGUAGUGGUUGCCAGGGCCUGGGGAAAGGAGAAAAUGGGUUGUUAUUUUUAUGGGUAUAACAUUUCAGUUUUACAAGAUGAAAAGAGUUAUGGAGAUGGAUGGUGGUGAUGAUUACAUAGCAAUACGAGUGUAAUUAAUAUCACUGAACUAUAUAUUUAAAAUGGUUAAAAUGAUAAAUGUUAUGUAUAUUUUAUUACAACAAAAUAUUUUUAAAAAGACAUGAAGAACUGAUUAAUACCAGAACACAAAUGAGCCUUGAAAACUUUAUUCUAAGUGAAAGAAAGCAGUCACAAAAGACCAUGUAUUAUAUAAUGUCAUUCAUUUGAAAUGUCCAGGGUAGGAAAAUCUACAGAGACAGAAAGUAGAUUAGUGGUUGCUUAGGGUUGGGGGAGAGGGUAAAAAAAUAGGAGGAUGAUAGCUGAAGGUGGCAUUUUCUUUUUUCAGUGAUGAAAUUGUGCUGAAAUUCACUGUUGUGAUGGUUACACAUAUUUGUGAAUACACUAAAGUUAAUUUAAUCGUAUACUUCAAAUUGGUGAAUUGUACGGUAUGUGAAUUAUAGCUUCAUAAAACUGUUUAAGAAAGGGUGAGGAAUUUAGAUUGUCCCACAAUGCUUAUAUCAGCACCUAUGUUCCCUAAAGCCCUUUUCUGUCAGGUGGGCCAAUAUUGUUUAAUCCACCAUGCUUAUUGUUGCCAUUGUGUACUAAUGGCCUGAGAGCAGUUAGCCACGUUUUGUACCCAAAAUGUUGGACGCCUACAUUGGGGUUAAAGGAGUGGUGGUCACAUCCAGAUGUGAUUUAGUCUAAGUAUUCCAUAAGGCCUCUCAGAGUCUCCCUUGUUUUUGGGUGGGGCAUUCUCCAGGAUAAUUUGGAUCCACCAUGGAAUGCCUACUUCUUUAACCCCAACAGAAACUGGUUGUAAUUUUAGAUUCUGUUCAAUAACUUUCCAUCUACAACAAAAAGGGUGAUAUACAUUUGUCCACAGCACACGGUGGCAUCUUAAGCACCCUGCUGCCAUAUUGUGUCUAUUAUAACCAAGGACCUUCCUUCAUUUGAUUAUCAAUGUUUAUAGUCGCACAGUGGUCAGUCAGCCAGGAGUUGUAACCCCAUGGUUGGAUGUCCUGCUCCUUACAAGAUUGAAAUGCAUCUAUCUGACAUGCCUGGAGCAGGUAUUGUCUGCUGCUAAAGUUUCCACCACAGAUGCAAGAAGAAAAAUGUCCUCAUGCUUUUUGUCUGUGAUUGUGGCAGCCAAGAUUGACUAGAGGAAUGCAGAGGGAAAAAAAGAAAAAAAAAUAAGAGACUAUAAAAGGUUUUGUUUAGUUUACCUUCUGUGUAACUGCCUGGGAAACAAAGGUUCUGUGUCUUAUCAGAAUGAUGUCCUAUGCUUUAUGUUGACCUUUUCCAUGUCCUGACUAUUUAAAACAACCAAGUCUUCUCUCUUUGAAAAAAAAACUAAGGUAUUUUACAAUAAGGUACCUUCCUAUAGUUACUUUUGUAGUUUUUUAUAGUCACUUUGGUUAACUAGGUAGGCAAGUAUGGUUUCAUAGUGAUCAAUAAUCUUAUUUAGUCAAGUGUUCAAACCUUUUAACAUUUUUGGCAGUUUUGCCUUCCCAAAAUAAGACCUGAAAUGAAAUCUUGAUCUCAAAUUGACCUUAAUAUUUCCCAGAGGAACCCUGGAAAAUCAUGAAAGAUUUUUUUCUUUCACCUUGUAAAAAGAGAAAUUUUAAACAAAGUAAUGGUUUUUGAUAGUUAAAUUGCAUUAAAUGUGUUGUCAAAUGAGAAGAGAUGCUUAACCUUCUCUAUGUGAUAUUUGCAUGGAUAAAUAUUAUUAACAUGACUAUUUCAGAAAUUGUUUGACAUUCAUAGGAAUUUGUCAAUACCUCCACUGCUCAGGAUAUGCCUUGGGAUAAUUUUAGUCAUAAAUCUGGUUGUUGUUUUAAAUAUCUAUGACAGAGACAACCAAAUUUCCUUGUCAAUUACUUAAUAAUAAACUCUUAUUGACAGGUGAAGCCAGCUGGACUUCCUGGGUAGAGUGGGUACUUGGAGAACUUUUCUGUCUAGCUAGAGGAUUGUAAAUGCACCAAUCAGCACUCUGUAAAAACGCACCAAUCAGCUCUCUGCAUCUAGCUAAAGGUUUGUAAGUGCACCAAUCAGCACUCUGUAAAAACGCACCAGUCAGCACUCUGUGUCUAGCUAAAGUUUGUAAACGCACCAAUCAGCACUCUGCAAAGACGGACCAAUCAGCACUCUGUAAAAUGGACCAAUCAGUGCUCUGUAAAAUGGACCAAUCAGCAGAAUGUGGGCGGGGAAAAAUAAGGGAAUAAAAGCUGGCCACCCGAGGCAGCAGAGGCAACCAGCUUGGGUCCCCUUCCAUGCUGUGGAGGCUUUUGCUGUGGAGGCUUUGUCUUUUUGCUCUUCACAAUAAAUUUAGCUCCUGCUCACUGUUUGGGUCUGCACUACCUUUAUGAGCUGUAACACUGCGGGGGUCUGCAGCUUCAUUCCUGAAGUCAGCGAGACCACAAACCUACUGGGAGGAACAAACAAACAACUCUGGGCAUGCCACCUUUAACAGCUGUAACACUCACCGUGAAGGCCUGCAGCUUCACUCCUGAAGUCAGUGAGACCACGAACCCACCAGAAGGAAGAAACUCCGGACACAUCUGAACAUCUGAAGGAACAAACUCCAGACACACCAUCUUUAAGGACUGUAACACUCACUGUGAGGGUCCGCGGCUUCAUUCUUGAAGUCAGCAAGUCCAAGAACCCACCGGAAGGACUAAAUUCUGGACACAUUAUCAUAUCUUUAACCAUAGCCGUUUUAAGUCUUGUCAUGCACAGAUAGUUUUUGUUUUACUCUGAUUCCCGUAUGAAAACGUUUUUAAUAAGUUACAAGCCAAAAUGCUUAAUCUUAAAUAAAAAGGAAAAGUCUCAGGGACACAUGGAAAAAAAUCUAUAACAGAUACACUAGAGUGCAGGCUUCUGAUUGCAUUGCUUAAAUGACUUUAAGACCAUCCCACUAGACUGAGUAAGGAUUUCCAGAACUAUAUUGGAGAAACUGAUUGGUUGAUAAAACUGCUAACCCAAGAUCAACCAGAACAAAAAUUAAUUACAGGUACCAGAUGAACUGAUGAAGUGCAAUUAUAAUAUUUAUGGAUUUUUACUUGAAACAUUGUUGAUUCUUUUAUGUUCUAUUUUCUGAAUGGAUUAUAAGACACUUCUUUCUCUUUUACAGUAUCCAUAACUUGCAACAAUAAUUAGAUUAUACUUUUAUAAACAGAAAUAGAACAUUUAUCGUUUUCUCCUUGCCUAAUCCCUCUAGAAUUUGGCACUCAUUGAGGAUUCUUAUUUUCAUGACGACAUAAUUAUUUGCAUAUGUCCAAUAGGAAUUUAUCCUUCUUGUAACUGGAUAUAACUGAAAAUCUUGGUUCUAUAACCAAGGCUUUGACUGAAAUGUCAUAUUUGAAAAUGACACAUAGACCCAGUUGUGACCAGACAGUUUUUAAGAAGCUAAGGUUGAUUUUAUGGAGUCUGUGCUUACAAAGCACUUUUCGGUAAAGCAUUCCAACUAACCUUUGUAGAGAGGCAAGAAUGACUAAAGGGAGGAAGGGUGAGAAGAUAGGAGAGUAGUUCUGUCCUCUCCAUUUACUCUAAAGGUUUAGGGUUCCUUGGCAUCAGCCUUCUACCAGGCACGUUGAAGCAUUUAUCUCCAUGGACCCUACUUCAACAUGGAAGGGAGGCCCCCACCAUUUUACUGUUCAUCUGGGAUCUGUGUAGAGCCUGAGGAAUGUUCUGGAUAAGCAGGACACACAUUUUUCCUUAGCUCAGCAGCAUCUUCACUGACUUCUGUAUUUUUAAUAUCGUGAUAAAAUGUUUUAAAAAUGAAAUAACUUUACAUAUUAUAUAAUAAGAAAAAACAGAGCCAUUCAAAAAAGCAAAUGAACAAUAUCAUGUGAACAGGAAGAAAUAAC
rnacentral:lncRNA from 10 species